rnacentral:rRNA from 1 species
GACGAACGCUGGCGGCGUGCUUAACACAUGCAAGUCGAACGAAAAGAGGGAAAGAGCUUGCUCUUUCCGGAAUUGAGUGGCAAACGGGUGAGUAACACGUAAACAACCUGCCUUCAGGAUGGGGACAACAGACGGAAACGACUGCUAAUACCAAAUAAGUUCCAAGAGCCGCAUGGCCCAUGGAAGAAAAGGUGGCCUCUACCUGUAAGCUAUCGCCUGAAGAGGGGUUUGCGUCUGAUUAGCUGGUUGGAGGGGUAACGGCCCACCAAGGCGACGAUCAGUAGCCGGUCUGAGAGGAUGAACGGCCACACUGGAACUGAGACACGGUCCAGACUCCUACGGGAGGCAGCAGUGGGGAAUCUUCCGCAAUGGGCGAAAGCCUGACGGAGCAACGCCGCGUGAGUGAUGACGGCCUUCGGGUUGUAAAACUCUGUGAUCCGGGACGAAAAGGCAGAGUGCGAAGAACAAACUGCAUUGACGGUACCGGAAAAGCAAGCCACGGCUAACUACGUG